GAACGCUGGCGGCGUGCCUAACACAUGCAAGUCGAGCGAUCUUCUUCGGAAGGGAGCGGCGGACGGGUGAGUAACGCGUGGGUAACCUGCCCUGUACACACGGAUAACAUACCGAAAGGUAUGCUAAUACGGGAUAACAUAAGAAAGUCGCAUGGAUUUCUUAUCAAAGCUUUUGCGGUACAGGAUGGACCCGCGUCUGAUUAGCUAGUUGGUAAGGUAACGGCUUACCAAGGCGACGAUCAGUAGCCGACCUGAGAGGGUGAUCGGCCACAUUGGAACUGAGACACGGUCCAAACUCCUACGGGAGGCAGCAGUGGGGAAUAUUGCACAAUGGGCGAAAGCCUGAUGCAGCAACGCCGCGUGAGCGAUGAAGGCCUUCGGGUCGUAAAGCUCUGUCCUCAAGGAAGAUAAUGACGGUACUUGAGGAGGAAGCCCCGGCUAACUACGUGCCAGCAGCCGCGGUAAUACGUAGGGGGCUAGCGUUAUCCGGAAUUACUGGGCGUAAAGGGUGCGUAGGCGGUCUUUCAAGUCAGAAGUGAAAGGCUACGGCUCAACCGUAGUAAGCUUUUGAAACUGUAAGACUUGAGUGCAGGAGAGGAGAGUGGAAUUCCUAGUGUAGCGGUGAAAUGCGUAGAUAUUAGGAGGAACACCAGUUGCGAAGGCGGCUCUCUGGACUGUAAC
rnacentral:rRNA from 1 species